GUCUAUGGCCAUAUCACCUUGAAGGGGCCUGAUCCCAUCUGGUCUUAGAAGCCAACCAGGGUCAGGCCCGGUUAGUACUUGGAUGGGAGAAAUGUUCAGAAAUAACAGCUUGCCAGGAAGCACCCAGGGGGUGCAGCAC
rnacentral:rRNA from 1 species